rnacentral:tRNA from 1 species
GAAUGCUAGUCUAACAAAGACAGUUGAUUUCGACUCAACAGAUCACAGCUCCCCCUGUGGCUUUCUU